rnacentral:misc_RNA from 1 species
AACUUUCGACAACGGAUCACUUGGUUCUCGCAUCGAUGAAGAACGCAGCGAAAUGCGAUACGUAAUGUGAAUUGCAGAAUUCAGUGAAUCAUCGAAUCUUUGAACGCACAUUGCACUCCUUGGUAUUCCGAGGAGUAUGCCUGUUUCAGUAUCAUGAGCACUCUCACAACUAACCUUUGGGUGAAAUUGUGGAAUUGGAAUGCGCUGAUUUUAAUAACCAGCCCUUCUAAAAUAUAUUUCAUGACUGUCACCUAACACAGCAGUUUGGCCUAAUAGUUUUGACAUUGAUUUGUCAAAUCUUUGGCUUACAUUUGCUUCAGGUUGUCAGUUUUGAUAAUACAGAAAACUCAUUCAAAUUUUGAUCUGAAAUCAGGUAGGGCUACCCGCUGAACUUAAGCAUAUCAAUAAGCGGAGGCU